GUUUGAUAAACUUCAUAAAACAGUGGAGCUGAGUGGUUUUGCUGUUGUCUGAAUGGAAGUAUCCUAAGAAGCCAUGCCAAGAAGAUAAAUAAAACUGUGGCUGCAGGAGAGGAGCUGAAACAAAUGUGCAGCGAGAGGUGCUGCAUCAGAGUGAGUUGCCCUCCACCAGCUUCCUAGAUCUGGCCGUGUGAGGAGGCAGAAGGAGCCCUCUGAGACUUUGGGGUGAGUAACUCUUCUAAAAGAGCAGAACCAUAAUAGACUGUGUUUACAUCAGCUCCGAUUCCUGGGAAAUUCAUACAAAAGUUGUGUUGUGGUCUGAAUUUUCUAGCAAACAGAGAAGGAAGCAGUUUGUCCAGUGUCACUAGACCUUACUGAAGGAUUUUACAUGCAGUGGGAAGGAAGAAACCCACUCCCUUCAUCCUCCAAAAACCGGGAUGGAGAUGGUUAGCAAGGGGGUGUGGGAGGCAGCCCAGGGUAGGACAGAGUGUCCAGUCCCUCUUGUCAGUGAGAGCCUUCCUUGACCCCAAACCUUAAGAAAUCAAAUCCCCACUCUCCUGGGAACUUGGUUUUCUCUUCCGGAGCCCAGAUUCGUUCCUGAGCCCCGAAAUGCUGAAGCCAGCAUUCCUCACCUCCAGGGAGCUGUGACAUCCUGGGAUGGUUUGUUUGAUUCACCAACAUCCUCUCUGCUUCCCCUGACCAAUCAGGGGUCUAUAACUUGCAGUUAAAUAAUUAAAGUCAAUUAAAGUUUAUUUCAUUUUGAGCAUUUCCCAAAGCCCUAGAGUAAAUUGGAGUCUCCCUGGAGUAUUGCAAAGCCGGGUUUGGAAAUCUCAGAUGAAGAGAAUGUUGGGCAAUGGAUGAUGGAGAAAAAGGAGAAACAAAGAGAAAGAGAACAGAGAUGGCUGGAGACAGAGACAAGGAGAGUCAGAAAGCGACAGAAAAAUGAUUCUUCAAGGCGAAUGACUCGAAAUGGAGAUUUCUUCUAACACCGCGUGAUCACCGACAACUUUUGCAGGACGGGAUGAAACUCCUCUGGGUUUCCAGUCAGAUGUGCGAGUGGGCUCUCUUUAAAUUAUAAACCUGCAGUCUAACAGAGCCUUCAAGGUUAUGGCCAUGAGAAAUGUGAGUGGAGAUAAAACCUCACAUCUUGAGGAUUAACAAGGAGAAUUUUUUAGUAGCAAAAUUAUAUUCUCUUUCAUCCCACAUAAAAAAGAGUUGUAAGUUGUGGACGUUUUCUGCGUGUUAUCAGUUUUAUGUCCUGUAGAAUUCCACCCCUCCAGACAAAUUUCCAU
rnacentral:lncRNA from 1 species